GACGAACGCUGGCGGCGUGCUUAACACAUGCAAGUCGAACGAUGAAGCCGGAGCUUGCUCCGGUGGAUUAGUGGCGAACGGGUGAGUAACACGUGAGCAAUCUGCCCUUGACUCUGGGAUAACUGCGGGAAACUGUAGCUAAUACCGGAUACGACACCUUGGGGCAUCCCAGGGUGUGGAAAGAAUUUCGGUCAAGGAUGAGCUCGCGGCCUAUCAGCUAGUUGGUGAGGUAAUGGCUCACCAAGGCGACGACGGGUAGCCGGCCUGAGAGGGGGACCGGCCACACAGGAACUGAGACACGGUCCAGACUCCUACGGGAGGCAGCAGUGGGGAAUAUUGCACAAUGGGCGAAAGCCUGAUGCAGCAACGCCGCGUGGGGGAUGAAGGCCUUCGGGUUGUAAACCUCUUUUAGCAGGGAAGAAGCGAAAGUGACGGUACCUGCAGAAAAAGCACCGGCUAACUACGUGCCAGCCGCCGCCGUAA
rnacentral:rRNA from 1 species